rnacentral:rRNA from 1 species
GGAAGUAUUGGGCGUAAAGAGCUCGUAGGCGGUUUGUCGCGUCGAAUGUGAAAACCCGGGGCUCAACCCCGGGCCUGCAUUCGAUACGGGCAGACUAGAGUUCGGUAGGGGAGUCUGGAAUUCCUGGUGUAGCGGUGAAAUGCGCAGAUAUCAGGAGGAACACCGGUGGCGAAGGCGGGACUCUGGGCCGAUACUGACGCUGAGGAGCGAAAGCGUGGGGAGCAAACAGG